CCUACGGGCAGCAGCAGUGAGGAAUAUUGGUCAAUGGGCGGAAGCCUGAACCAGCUAAGUAGCGUGCAGGAUGACGGCCCUACGGGUUGUAAACUGUUUUUAUACGGGCAUAACGCGCCUUACGUGUAGGGCUUUGCAUGUACCGUAUGCAUAAGGUCAGGCCAAUUACGUGCCAGCAGCCGCGGUACUACGGAGGGUCCGGGCGUUAUCCGGAUUUAUUGGGCUUAGGGGGAGCGUAGGCCGCUUGUCAAGCGUGCUGUGAAAUGCCCGGGCUUAACCCGGGCCUUGCAGCGCGAACUGGCGGGCUAGAGUCCGCGGAAGGCAGGCGGAAUU
rnacentral:rRNA from 1 species